AAGAUUUUAAGUUAAAUAAACUAAUAAUUUUCAAAAUUAUUUAUAAAGAAAUUUAUUCUUUAAAUCUUA
rnacentral:tRNA from 1 species